CAGAGAGAGAGAGAUAAAGGAACCUACUGAAAAGCUUCGAGCACAUGUUUUUUGUUAUUUUGAACCGCAGCAGAAACUGGCUGAGUAAUAUGAUCAGAAAAGGCAAACCCAGAAGAAAGGAAAGUGCCAAGGAGCACACAAUGGAACAACUCAUCUGUCUUCAUGUAUGCAAAUUUAACUAUAGCCUUCCAGGAAACAAGUUACCAGCAUUUCCUAUACAGUAGUACCUCGGGUUAAGAACUUAAUUCGUUCCGGAGGUCCGUUCUUAACCUGAAACUGUUCUUAAUCUGAGGUACCACUUUAGCUAAUGGGCCCUGCCGCUGCCGCCCGAUUUCUGUUCUCAUCCUGAAGUAAAGUUCUUAACCUGAGGUAAUAUUUCUGGGUUAGUGGAGUCUGUAACCUGAAGCGUAUGUAACCUUAAGUGUCUGUAACCCGAGGUACCACUGUAUAUGUAUCCACCUCCUGCUUCUCCCUCGUGCAAAUAUGAAUUUAUUUAUUUACAGCUUUUUAUUUAUUUCUUUUUCUUCUUAGACUGUCUUUCUGGGCAUAUUCCUCUCAAUAAACCAGUUCCUAGGGCUUUAUUUAGCCUAGGAAUGAGCUAGAUUUCCUAUGGCCCUGGUCAUUUUAGGUUAUUUUAUAAGGUUGUGAAUAUUUGCUAUGGCAUGAAACCUUCUAUGCAUUUAAAACUAGAGUUGUGCACAGGCCUGUCCUCUAAUACACUCUGUGGCCCCUGGAUUGGGAAAAUUCACCCUGUGCCACCUCAAGGGCCACCUGCCCUGAAUCUUUCUCCAAAGCAAUUUUUGGGAUAGGGUUAAGGGUCUUCUUCUUCUAUUAUUUAAUUGUUGCAACAAAUAACAGUAUCAUACAGACUAAUAUCACCCUAACCUCAAAUAUGGUGUUUAGGCAAUGCAUGCAAAAUCACAUCCCAGCAGCAUAAUAAGUUCUUUUCCCAGACUUUUCCCAUUUGUAUAAAAGGUGAUAAACAAUUUAUGUUAACCAAAAGGUUUUAUACUGUGAGGGAAGUCCUGUUUUCAUUUUUAGCCGUGUCCAUAAUAAAGAUGUACCCAAUCUGUUACAAAAGAGGUUUUGUGCUUCAAACCUUGUUUUAGCAAUUUAUCAGAGUUAGGGGUUUUAAAGGAAUUUUUAAACCCUGUUUGUUCAACAAACAGUUAAAAUAGGGUUUAAAAAUAUGGUCAAGAUGGGGUGGACCUGAAGGGAAAUUGAUCUUUUUGGUGCUGCUUGAGGAUGCAGGAAAGAGAAGAGACUUUGUGGGAAAGGCAUCUACUGUACUCCAUCCCCUAUCUUCUCUAGUAACAACAACAACAUUUAUACCCUGUCCAUCUGGCUGAGUUUCCCCAGCCACUCUGGGCAGCUUACGGCAUAUAAAAAAUUGUAAAAACAUCAGACAUUAAAAGUAUCCCGAUUCAGGGCUGCCUGCAAAGAUGCAGCCCCCUGGUGGGUCCCUGAUCCUCCUCACUCACACCUACUUCUCUUUCCUGCCUGGUGCCCUAUCAGCCCCACAUGUUUCUGAGUCACUCAACCCAACCUGUAGUGAUCCAGGGUUGUUUGAACCUAUUUGACCAAGGCCCAGAUACCUCCAAAUGGGCCCAAUUUGUUUGCACAGCCCUGUUCACUACAAAUGAAAUUGGCCACAAAGUUAAUCAUGUCGAAGUCCCACUGAUUGCACUAGAAGAGUUGAUUAUGUCCUUAAAUCUCUUCCUUUGAAAUCAAUGAGACUUCAAAGUGAUUAACUUUGGGUGCAUCCGUGCUGUUGUUUCUUAUUUGUUAGGUGAAAGUACAGCUUUUCUUCCAGUCUUUUCUACUGCCUCUUUCUGUUUAGCUCAUUAGCAACUGUCCCCCUUCCCUUCCUGGGCUAAACAAUGUUAAAACUAAUUAAUUAUCAGAUUUUUUAACAGAUUGACUAAAACGAUGUUAAACUGAGUACAGGAGUUGCCCAUGGCAGAUGGUGUGAGUUUCUUGGAGUUUGCAAUUGUGGUGCAGCAAUAAAACUGCUAGCACAUUUGCAAAGCUAAGCAGGGUCCUGUAUGGUUUUGAAUUGGAUGGGGGACCACAUGCUGGGAUUCCUGCAUAGGGGUUGGAUUAGAUGGCCUUUCCAACUGUACAAUUCUAUGAAUUGUAGAUAGAAUUGUCUGCAUCUGCAAACAUUCUCCUGCCUGUGUGGAAUACAGGGAAAAUGGAGUGUAAUGCCCUAAAAGGGUUUUGGAGGUGCCUUUCUCCUUCCUGAUCUUUCUCAUUCUCAUGCUGUGAUGAGCAAAGCCAAGCUUUGGCUUAGCAUAUCACCCGAACUCGUUGUUUAGUCGUUUAGUCGUGUCCAACUCUUCAUUACCCCAUGGACCAGAGCACGCCAGGCACUCCUGUCUUGCACUGCCUCCCACAGUUUGGUCAAACUCAUGUUGGUAGCUUCAAGAACACUGUCCAACCAUCUCGUCCUCUGUCGUCCCCUUCUCCUUGGGCCCUCAAUCUUUCCCAACAUCAGGGUCUUUUCCAGGGAGUCUUCUCUUCUCAUGAGGUGGCCAAAGUAUUGGAGCCUCAACUUCACGAUCUGUCCUUCCAGUGAGCACUCAGGGCUGAUUUCCUUCAGAAUGGAGAGGUUUGAUCUUCUUGCAGUCCAUGGGACUCUCAAGAGUCUCCCGAAGAGUCACCCAAACUCAGGAUUGUGGUUAAGCUUUCUCCCCUUUAACCAAAAGCUGCACCCAAGCUUUGUCCUUGGCCGCAACUCACGGUUAAUGAAGAGAGAGUUUGACUAUGGCCCGAGGUUUGGAUGACAAACCUGGACAUUGCUUGGCAGGGGAGUGAAAAGGACCAGGGAGGCACAAAGUAGAUGUGAACUCCUCUGUAGAAGCCCACAUGUUCACACAGUUCCAGGUUAGCUUAACAUAUUGUGCAAACACAGCCCUUCUAUAGCAGUUACAGUAGCUGUAAGUUGUGGUUUUUGUCUCUCUCUUAGCAUUUAAAAAAAUGACAAAUUUUGUCUGGCUCAGAAAAUAUGGCAGCUUCCAGCAAGGACAUGUUGGACAAUGAUAAUAAUGAAUUGUUAUUAAAUUCAUAACCCGCUCAUCACCAGAAGGUCCAAAGUUAACAGCAACAUAAAACACAACAUGAAAAACAGUGUAAGAUAAAUUUCAAUUAGAACCAGAAUGGGUCCUAAAAAUGCAUAUCUCAGGUGUCAAAGACCAGGAUAUAGAGGUGCGGCUUAAGACUACGGAGGGCAGCCAUUUUUGCUCAAACGGUAUUUGUCACAAUCAGUGCUGUUUCCAUUCUGCUGCUGUUCAGUUUCUGCCAAAUACUACGUUAUUCAUCUUCCUGGAUGCUAUUUAACAUAAGUUACAUAACUAUUUAUGUAAUUGAUGUUAUAUUCAACGUAAAGGCAACAUCAAAACAAAGUUUAAAAAAACACAGCCGCUAUAAUUUAUGUAUCACUUGCAGACUUAAAAACAACAGUGUGAAUGAAUACAUAUCAUACUCGCUUGGCUGUUUUCUGUUCCUGUUCACAAACAAACUCAUGAGCUGCAGCAGUUUCUGCUUUCUUUUUUGUCAGAUUUCUCUGACAUCCCUACAUUUGACUCAUGCGGCAAAACCCCGUAGCAUAGGUAAUGCCCAUUUCAAUUUUUUUUUAGCUCUCAUAAGCAAAACCCUGGUCACCUAUGAGCAGAAUUGAACCAUCAAACACAGGAGUAGCCUCAUAUCAAAUUGUUGUAUUUUCAAUUCGUUUCAGUUUCUGCAAUAAUUCAAUGCUUCAUUUUUGUUUUCCUAAGUGGAGUGUUCCAACAUUUGAAAUGUCAAUUAACAUAAAAACAACAGAGGAGACGCCUUCACCCCCGUCGCCAAUGCAGAGUAGUAGAUAAUGGGUCCUUGAAAAACAUAGGAAACAAUCCAUUGGAAAUAUGCCCUUUGUAGACUGCUUUGAACUGAGUGGGACAUGGAUGAGAUGUUUUGUUUAUCUGUCAAUGGAAAUAUAAGACAAAGGCCAGGGAUGUUUCACAGUAACAAACUGCCCAUGUUCCAAAAUCAUGCCAUAUAUUCUACUUCGAAAUGGUAAUAAAUUAUUCACAAUGUGCUUGCACCUCCAUCUCUCCAGUGCUUUAGAGGCAAUUAAAAUAUGAUCAUCACAAUAAAGAAAUAAAUAAUCUUAAUUAAAACAGUGCGCGGGAACGCAGAAUGAAGAUGUAGCCAUGUAGCCAAUGGGGAGCUGCGCACUAACGUGUGAUUUUACAUAGCUGUCAGCUUUAUCUAAUGUAUGUCUGAAAAUAAAAUCUGCAGAGACCAAAUGUGGAUUUUAUUUUAUUUUUGCUUUCUCUGCAGGACUCUGGGGCUGUGCACAAAUGAACAGAUGAAAACAUCCACGUGUAGUGGCUGCUGUUUUAAAAUAAAAAUACACUGCAAGAUAUACUUAAUAAUUAAGGCAACAAUUUUUUCUGUAAUUAGUGUCUUACACAAUUGGAAUGAACCCAUCGUGAUUUCUCUGCUAAUGCAAAUCUGUCUUUGAUCCUCUGUCCAGAUCUUAGAUUAUUUAUCAAAUGAUAGAAUCAUAUAGUAAUUGGUGUUGCAAAACGUGGGG
rnacentral:lncRNA from 1 species